rnacentral:lncRNA from 1 species
GGCGGCUUACGAUAUGGUUACAUGACCUCAAACCUGGCCGAAUGUAUAAAUUAUGUUCUGAAAGGAACACGUUAUUUACCGAUAACAUAGUUGUGCGAGAGACAUAUUUUCGUUUAGCGGUACUAUUUCCGAAACGAGCAGUGAGUUAUGCAGGCCAAAUGCAAGGAAGCCAUAUAUUGUGCACAAAGGUAUUGCAAGAAAUUAACAAGGCGAAGGCACGGGCGAACACUAUACACACAGUGUGUCACGAUCGAGACAACUUAUGGUUUCGUGUGACAGAGUUUGACAAACCGCACCAAGGUAUUACUGGCGGGCA